UGCGUAGGCGGGUUUCUUAAGUCAGAGGUGAAAGCCUGGAGCUCAACUCCAGAACUGCCUUUGAUACUGGAAGUCUUGAGUAUGGCGAGAGGUGAGUGGAACUGCGAGUGUAGAGGUGAAAUUCGUAGAUAUUCGCAAGAACACCAGUGGCGAAGGCGGCUCACUAGGCCAUUACUGACGCUGAGGCACGAAAGGCUGGGAGCAAACA
rnacentral:rRNA from 1 species